GUUUAUCUCUUUCCAACUUCACGUUCUCUCACAUUUCCUUCUCCUAUGUUUACGUCGUUCUCUCUCUCUCGAGUCUUGCCUCUCUUGCCGGAUAUACGUGAAGUUAAUGGUUCUUGUUCCGUCUAGAUUGGGGAAAAUUGCAGAAUCAUUUUUGUUUGUUGUGUGACUAGGGGUUCAGAAAUCGAUCUAGCCUUCAUCUCGUCUAGCCGAAUAUAAGCAAUGUAUUAGGUCUUUGUUCCGUUGAUCACACGAGAUUUUGGUUGAGGAAAAUAACAUUUUUAACUCUCACUGUAAUUGAUUUCUUGUUUCUUAUGCGAGUGGUGGUCCAGAAAUCAAUUCAGUUAUUUUAUUGAAUUAGUUGGUUGUUUUUAAUCUCACAUUCUGGAGAUUUCCAAGUUCCGACAUCGGUCUGUAAUAUAGAGGUUUUUGGAAUAUUUUGGAUAAACUCGGGCAUCAGUGCACUCCAGAUGUUCGUCUAAAUGUUGAAAUCAACAGAAAUAAAUUCAGUGUCAUCCAAAUGCAGAGAUCAUUGAAUUUAAGAGAGAUGGAAGUGGUCCUUAACAUUAGAUAUUUCGAUUUUGUGUCAUUUUCUCUCCCUUUUUAUUUCCAUAUAGCCUGUUGUUAUUAGAAGAGGUUAUAGUUUUUAAAUUCUAUAAAUUUUGUCUUCAAUUAUCAGUUGCACCAUUUAUAGUAUAUGAAUCGUUUGGGAUAAUAUUUGACAUUUGAAGAAAUAUGGAAUGCAAGUUUCUGCAUUUCUGUUACUAGGUUGUAUGUUCCUUUUUGGCGUGUCCAUGGCUACCGAUGUUUACGAGGUUCAUUUCAUCAAGCAGACAAACUAGUUCAAGAAGCGUGUCC
rnacentral:lncRNA from 1 species